AUUGAACGCUGGCGGCAGGCUUAACACAUGCAAGUCGAGCGGGGAAGGGUAGCUUGCUACCUGACCUAGCGGCGGACGGGUGAGUAAUGCUUAGGAAUCUGCCUAUUAGUGGGGGACAACAUUCCGAAAGGAAUGCUAAUACCGCAUACGCCCUACGGGGGAAAGCAGGGGAUCGUCGGACCUUGCGCUAAUAGAUGAGCCUAAGUCAGAUUAGCUAGUUGGUGGGGUAAAGGCCUACCAAGGCGACGAUCUGUAGCGGGUCUGAGAGGAUGAUCCGCCACACUGGGACUGAGACACGGCCCAGACUCCUACGGGAGGCAGCAGUGGGGAAUAUUGGACAAUGGGCGAAAGCCUGAUCCAGCCAUGCCGCGUGUGUGAAGAAGGCCUUUUGGUUGUAAAGCACUUUAAGCGAGGAGGAGGCUACCGAGAUUAAUACUCUUGGAUAGUGGACGUUACUCGCAGGAUAAGCACCGGCUAACUCUGUGCCAGCAGCCGCGGUAACAC
rnacentral:rRNA from 1 species